rnacentral:rRNA from 1 species
AUUGAACGCUGGCGGCAUGCCUUACACAUGCAAGUCGAACGGUAACGCGGGGCAACCUGGCGACGAGUGGCGAACGGGUGAGUAAUGUAUCGGAACGUGCCCAGUAGUGGGGGAUAGCCCGGCGAAAGCCGGAUUAAUACCGCAUGAGACCUAUGGGUGAAAGCGGGGGAUCGCAAGACCUCGCGCUAUUGGAGCGGCCGAUAUCAGAUUAGGUAGUUGGUGGGGUAAAAGCCUACCAAGCCGACGAUCUGUAGCUGGUCUGAGAGGACGACCAGCCACACUGGGACUGAGACACGGCCCAGACUCCUACGGGAGGCAGCAGUGGGGAAUUUUGGACAAUGGGCGCAAGCCUGAUCCAGCCAUGCCGCGUGCGGGAAGAAGGCCUUCGGGUUGUAAACCGCUUUUGUCAGGGAAGAAAUCUUCUGGGUUAAUACCUCGGGAGGAUGACGGUACCUGAAGAAUAAGCACCGGCUAACUACGUGCCAGCCGCCGCAGUAC